CACGUAUUCCGUAUGCUACACGGUAGCGUUGUAUCCUGUUUAAUCUGGACGAGUGGGUGGGACCUCCUGCUGCAGAGUGGGAGUGGCCGGUGCAGAAGUGGGAGGGGAGCUCGAGUACAGCCAGACCUCCAGAACAUUCUCACCAGAACCCAGUGCCCACCGACACUGUCUGUCCCAGACCUGAUCCCCCGACCGGGAACUACUGUCUGAGCAGAGACUCUGCACACACACUCCUCACCUUGAAGGCAGAGUUUUGUCACCAUCUCUUUCGUGCUUAUGGCGCAAGUGGCUACCGCUGCCCAACAGAUGGAGUUCAUGGACGUCCGGGUCCUGGAGAAACGUAUGUGCUGGCUGUGACAGACAGGCAGUGGGAAAAAACCAGGCCCAAGAGCUUUGAAGACCAAGUUUCUGUCUGUGCUGUGGGCUGCUCCUGACAGGAGCUGACAUCUGAGCUAUGCACCAGGCACUGGCAUUUCCUUCUCCCUUCCACCCGUGUCAUCCUGUGAUGGGUCCAGGGAAGACCCUUCUCUCUUCAAGACUACCCUUGAUGUAAAUUUUAGCCAGGUGUCACCUGAAGCGGAAGGAUGAGGGUCGGUAUGAGCAUACACAGACGGCUGAGGCUACAAGUUCGAGAUGUCCACUGGGGCCGCAGUUUGGAAAGUACGUGCUGACAUGGCAGCUGAGAACCAAAACCCCUUCUGAGCCUGUGGUCAAACCCUCCUAAUAAGAAGAGAAACCGAGAGUCUCAGGCCGCGUGCUGGGAGAGCCGCACGGUCGGGCAAGGG
rnacentral:lncRNA from 1 species